GUAUAUUUUUAGAUGGCAUUUGCUACUGAAUAAUGAAGAAACUUUUUCCAACCUAACAGCAGCAGAAUGACAACUUGCUCAUUCUUACCAACUUGUCUGUGAUUUUGCUGAAUUGCAGCCAUGACUUCAGCAAAGGCUCUUAUGAACCUGCAGAUCCAGUGAACACAGCCCUUCAUGUCCUUGUUCAUAGAAUUUGUGGAUACAUUUCUACUGAAUCAGACCUCAAGCUUGUAUAAAAGGGCUCACUCGCUCCUUCUGUGACUUGAUGGUUUCUUUUUGGUUCAAACGAAAAAUGUGAAGAUUUCCUCAGAACAGCAAUGGCUGUAGUAAAUCCACAUUAAAGCCGUUUCAUCCUUUUUCUGACAAAGAAUUAUUUUCUCACAGAAAAGAAAAUCUCAGUAUAUUUCCAGCUUUAAUGCACAAAUGAAUUUGGGUCACACCUCAUAUUUAGCUGUGUUCAGAAAUAUGAAAU
rnacentral:lncRNA from 1 species